UCUUUAGAGGGAGCUCGAUCGUCCGGAUGCUCAGCCUGGGACGUCCCCCCGCCGCCCCGGGGCCAGAGCAGAGCUGGGGGCUGCAGCCUAGCAGGGAA